rnacentral:lncRNA from 1 species
CUUCCCCAACCGCCGAAGCAAAAAGGAAAAACGUCUUCUUUUUCGAACGAGUUAUAAUUUGUUUCUUUCGACUUUCUCGGAAAUUAAUCACUCUCAAAUUUCCCGGGAAAAUCCCGAGCUCAGGUUCGUACCCUAAGACCUCAUUUCAAUUGCCUUUGCUUAAAUCUUUUCUUCUUUUCUUUAUUGUUUUCAAGAAUUGGUUCUAUUUCUGGCCCAUAUUCAAUUCUUUCGCAUAGGUUAAUCAUCUCCUCUGUCAUUGAUGUUUUAGGGUUCUUCCUUUGAUUUUUAGUGAAGAAUGUGCUAUUUAUUCUUAUUGAUUUCUGUUAAUUGUAAUUCUGCUUCUGGAAGUUAGGUUCUGGUGGAACUAAGUUGUUUGGGUUUGGCUGACAAAGAAAAAGUGAUUUUCAUUAUUUUACUUGGAUGUUUAGCUUUAUAUUCAAUGAUUGGUUAGUAGAAUAUGUUAAUGCUUCAUGCUUAAAUUGUGAUACUGAUGAUGAGUAUAUGGAUCACUGUGUUUUGUAUUGAUUAGAUGUAUGUUAUAGGUCUGUUAAGUGUAUUAAUUGUAGAAACUGACUUCUAUAGUGCUGAUAAAGUGCAAGGUGUUUCAUUUAAGCUCCACAAUUUUUGGUCCAAGCCUUGACAAAAACUAGGAGUGAGCAUGGGGUUGGGCGAACCUGACUAACCCGAAUCCAACCCACAUUUUGGGCAAAUCUAGUAAGGAUAAUUGAGCUAACAAAUUUAUAAUUUUCUUAACCCAAACAAAAAGUUGGCAAACAUGUUAGCUGGGUUUGCAUGGUGCUUGUAAGGAAGAGAUAUCAUGAUGUCAGACAUUUAUGUCGAAAAGAAGCAUUUUCAGCUUUGAUAAUGCACUAUAUUGGAGGUAGUUUAUGUAUUACAUCAUGAGUUAAAAGGAUAGCUAUUCAUUAUUAUAAAGAUUUUCUUCCUAUUAAAUGCUGUUGUUUUAAUUUUCACAUUAAUUAAAAGUUUCCUUUUCUCAUUGGAGAUUUUGUUUUAUUUACCCGGGCUUCUUCUUUUACGUCCUGAUAGCAAACAUUCGCAUUUGGCUUAGAUGGUAUGCUUGUACUGCAGAAUAUCUUCAAGGAGCUGUUUAGCAGGCAAGAAGGUGGCUGGCUUUUCUCUAUUGUGACACCAUAAUUUUUUGCCAGGAGCAGUUUUCUUAAAGAGAGGAGAAGAGGACCCCUGAAGGGAAGGGCUGAUGAAUUCAUCUUGGACAAAAUAGAUCACUUAAGUGGUGUGAAAGCUCAAAUAAAGUCUAACAAAAAAAAACCGAUAAAGCACGUUUGGUUCAGUGACUCUUCAAAGUUAACUUCACCAUAUAGUCCAAGACCCGGAUUCAAUGGGAUGGAGGGGCAUUUUAUGCUCUUCCUUUUUCUUUUUAUCCAUGGUCGAGGCCUCCAGCAGAUUAGGAGAAAUGUGGUCACUUAACCUUGGUGCUGAAUCAGCAGCAGCCUUCAGCUGGCCAAUCCUCAGUGCUAGCAUAUUCGUACUUGUUGCUCUUCUUCUCUCCAUGUACCUUAUCUUCGAGCAUUUAGCUGCUUAUAAUCAGCCAGAGGUCUAAUCUUGUUCCUCUUGUUAUUUGUCAAAGAAAAAAAAAAGUUUCUUUUUGCACUUUUUUUUCGGUGAUACCCUACUUAAUUUAUCUGCUCUCCUGUGAAAUUUUGUUUUGCUUCUAUCUAAAGAUAACUUUGAUUCAUCUUUUGUGGUGACAUAUCAUUUUUCUUCUCCUUUUAUCUAUUUUCAGGAGCAGAAGUUUCUGAUUGGUCUCAUUCUAAUGGUUCCUGUUUAUGCACUGGAAUCGGUACGACACAUUACGUUCUGUGAUCACAUUCUUCAGUUGUAUGCUAGUUUUACUUGUAACUCUAUAUGAGUUAACUAUUUAUAUUGUGAUGGAUCACACUUUCUUUUAAAUAUAUUGAGUAAAGCUUAGAAACACAUGAGUAUAUAUAAAUGCAGUUCAAGGGCUGUUUUAAAUGAAGGCGUUUUACUACUUAACCCUUCUCAAUUAGUUAGAGAAUAGUUACAAAUUUAGUAUGAAACAGACUAAGAGGAAAAUCAGAUUGGAACAUGAUGCUCAUCCCAAAAGCAUGCUAUUUACAUAGUUAUUAGUAUUGAUAUGGAGCUCAAAUGAAUGUGCAUUCCUCUGGAACGCUAAAUGGGAGUAUACCAAGAGGUCAUGUUUCCUUGUGCAGAUAAAACAAAUUGUAGCAUGCCAGAUAUUUUGAUAAGUAUAUGGAUUCAAUGUAUUAGUUAGAUAUUGACAACUUGUCGAAAUGACAGAUGGAGAAUUUGGAUGUAUUUAAUUUCUUUUGCUAGAUUAGGUUAUUACCCAUUUUAUAGAUAAGUGAGUUUAAUUUCUACUUCUUGUUAAAAACGGAGAUAAUUUGGCAAAGUUUCUCAAAGGAAGGAACUAAACUUUUAGUUCAAAUCCUAGAGUUAUGACAGUUAUAAGAUUUCUGCAUAGAUGGGCCCUUUGUCUACAAUUCUUUAAGGAUUUCAGUUCAUGAAAUCUGUUCUUAUUGUGGAAACUAUAUGACAAAAGUAAGAUUUCUGCAUACAGUUGAUCCUUUUGUUUUUCUUAGUAUCUGACUGCUUUUAUUCUAUCAUGUAUCCAGUUCGUACUGCUUCCCUUUUCAUUAGUACUUACCAUUUGAUGGAUUAGUAAUAUAUUGCGCAUGAUAACACUUUUCGCUGUAGUUUUUGUCGCUGUUGGACUCAAAUGCUGCCUUCAACUGCGAAGCAAUUCGGGACUGCUAUGAAGCUUUUGCAUUAUAUUGUUUCGAGCGAUACCUGAUUGCCUGCUUAGGUAUGUAACGGAAAUGUGAAUGUUGAAUCUUCUGUGAUUAUGAAGUACUUACUACCACACACAGUGGUUUGAAUCAGUAUUCUUUUUUUCCUAGAAGUACUGUUCUUGUGUGCGCAGUCUGUAUGCAUUCAUGCAAACUUAUAUAUUGAUAAGUAAUAUUCCAAUGGAUGAGUAGUUAACCAGGUUUGUUGAACAUCUUUAAUAACAUAAAGCCUGAAAAAAAUCCUUGUUGUGGACAAAUAUUUUUCUAUGUUAAGGUGGUGAGAAGAGGACAAUUGAAUUUAUGGAGAGUCAGAGCGUACUCGAUUCCAGUACACCUCUUUUGAAAGAUGCUUACGCUUAUGGAGUUGUAGAGCAUCCCUUCCCACUAAAUUGCCUCAUAGGUGACUGGCCUCUUGGUCCCACAUUCUACCAUGCUGUGAAAGUGGGCAUCGUUCAGUAUGUAUGUAGUCAUUUCCUGCUGAAACUUUAUUUCAAUCGUUUUAUUUCCUUCGAAGUUUUCCGCCUUAUUUGGUCUUCUCUGACUCAUUAUUUUCCAGAUGAUACUGAAAUUGAUCUGCGCUUUGCUCGCAAUGAUUCUUGAGACUUUUGGUGUUUAUGGAGAAGGGAAAUUUGACUGGAGAUAUGGGUAAUAUAUUUUCUUUUGUAUCAUUUAGGUCUUAAAGCUAACUGUUACAAGUAGAUAAAUCUUUAUGCCUGCUUAGAUGACAGGUUGAGUAUGUCUUAUAUAUUGAUGCUUGAUGCACACACGCACAGACACUUACACAUACUGACACUUUCUUGAGCACAGAAGUUUUUGUGCGUGCUUAGGAUGACUUGUUGGCAGCUGUGAUUUUAUUACAUUUCGCUUUUAAUGAUGGACUUGUUUCUUUUGUAUUUCUCAUUAUAUAUAUAUAUAUAUAUAUUGUUCUGACUUAGUUUUGUUUGCUUGCAGCUAUCCUUACUUGGCAGUUGUUCUUAAUUUUAGUCAGACGUGGGCCCUAUAUUGCCUUGUGCAGUUUUACUCUGUUAUUAAAGACAAAUUACAACCCAUUAAACCAUUAGCGAAGUUUCUGACUUUCAAGUCAAUUGUGUUCUUGACAUGGUGGCAAGGCAUCGCAGUUGCAUUUCUUUUCUCUAUGGGUGCCUUCAAAGGGUCUUUGGCUCAAGAGCUGAAAACUCGCAUACAAGACUAUAUCAUAUGCAUAGAGGUGAGUAAUUUAACUAAUCAUUUACAUGUACUGUUAAAUUGUAUUGAGUUUGAUGUUGUAGGGCAUGAAGGCCUGAUACAUCUUUAACAAUUUGACGUGCAAACGUAAGUGAAUUGAAAUUGAAAGCGUCAAAUUAGUUUUGAAAGGAAGUAGAUAAAUUAAUUAGUUGGACCAAUGUUUUGGAUGAUCAGAAGAAACCCAGGAUCUCAUUGGAGAUCAAGUUUAUCCCGUAGGUGGGUAGUUCUAAGUUAUUGCACUAUAAAGUAGACUCUACUUAGAUUGUAAUCAUACCAUGUUCCUUUAAGGAAAACAAUGGAAGAACCUCCUUUUUGUUACUGUCAGAGUAAAAUCCUGAAGUUCUUAAAAGAAAUAGAAAAACCAAAGGUUAUCUUUUAUAACAAGAUGUUAAGAGGCUCUUGUAUAGAACCCAAAAACCCUAACUAAAUUAAAAACCCUAACUAAAUUAAAUUCUAUCUUUCAAAAUAAUCAGCAGUCCAAAAUAACUGAGGAAGAACAUAAAAAAAGUAUGUAAUUAAAAUAUUCAGCUACAGUACUAUGAACAAUUAAUAGAGCUGUGUGUGAAGAAUGACCGGAAAAUUGUGUACACUUUUCUAAUAAAAGUUUUAAAUUCUGGUUCACCAUUAUUUUAUGAGAACUUUGAGUCAAAUAUUAAACAAUUGUUUUGAACUGGAAAUAAAAUGACUUUGGUGACUUAAGCAUACUACGCUUAUUCCAGUUGUGGCCAAAGUUUAGCUUGAAAUCUAACGAAUCUUGGUAUUCAAGGUUGUUUGGUUUUGAAGGAUGCAUAAACGAGAAUCAAGUGUAACACACUUCUCAAUCUGUUUAGCCAUUUGCAAAUAUUUGGAAAACAGCAUUUUCAGAUGAUGACUGUAGAAUUUGAAUUUGAAUAUAUCUAGAAAUAGAUUCUCUGUUCGUGAUAAUGAUUUGUAUAUUUAAGAUCAUUAGUAAGUCAAUAGGAAGAUUCAGUGAUUAGUUUUAUGUUAGUGGUUGUUACCAUUGUAUUUAUGCUUAUUUUCUUAAUUCAACUAUUGUUAUAUUUAUUUGUCUUAUCAGGAUUGCUUUUGUUUUUAGGUUUUUCAAUAUUAUAUCUUAUUUUUUGUUAGGUUAUUUGAUCAAAGGUGUGGGUCAAUCUUAAAAGCUGAACAAUAAAAGUUCAAUCUCAUUUCCCUUAAUCUUAAAGUUGGAGAAUUACAGUUAUCCAUUGUUGGUAAAAAAAAACAUAAGUAUCUUCUUUAGGACCCACUUGUUAAAUAUUUAGAUACUUGAGGAAUUGAAUAAAUUACUAUGGUUAUCUUUCCAAAAAAUAUUCAACAAUUACUCCGAUUUUAUGUGUAUAAUAGUUUAUGAUACAUGAGUCAAGUUUUCUGAAUAGGUUCUAUGUGUACCUGUUUGUUGUAAGUUCUGGUUGAUGUUCAGUACAUAGAAACUUUUCCAAAUAUGAUCCUGAAGUUCAAAGGGUUGUGAUUUCAAACUUGUCAAACAGAUGGGUGUGGCUGCUGUGGUUCACCUUUAUGUCUUUCCAGCAGUACCUUACAAACGAGGAGAAAGAUGUGUGCGUAAUGUUGCUGUGAUGACUGACUAUGCAUCAUUGGGAGCACCUCCUGAUCCAGAGGAGGUACGUGAUUGUGAAAGAACAACCAGAGUGCAUCUGGCACGGCAUGAUGAGAGAGAAAAGCGCUUGAAUUUCCCCCAAAGUGUUCGUGAUGUGAUUUUUGGAAGCGGUGAAAUUGUGAGAAGUUAACCCUAAUAACUUACUUUUUCAUUUAAAACUCUUUUCUGGACUUUAUCGUCACUUUUAUGUUCUCAUUUGUUGUUUCAGAUUGUUGAUGACAUGAAGUAUACAGUUUCCCAUGUGGUAGAACCAGUCGAAAGAGGAUUUGCAAAGAUAAAUAAAACCUUGCAUCAGAUAUCUGAGAAUGUGAAACGCCACGAGGAGCAGAGGAAGAGCAUAAAGGAUGAUAGUUAUGUUAUCCCCUUGAAUUCAUGGAAUAGAGAAUUUUCUGAAGUUCGUGACAAUCUUGUUGAAGGGAGUAUCAGUGACAGUGGUUUGUCUAGUGGGAGGAGACAGCAGUCCCAGUCUAAAGCUUCAACAUCUCAGAAUAGAGCAUGGAGAUGAUGUUAACAAAAGUAUAUGUAAGAUCAUCACCGGCGUAACUUGUAAAUGGUGUCGUGAGUUCAACGUGAUUUUAGAAGACGUUGAUAUACAUUAGCUGGCCAGAAGAGCUGGUGGUUUAUGGAGCUAACUCGUCAACAAAAACAAACAUUCAUGAAUUUUGGCAUCAAGAAGGAAUCUUCUUGAUCAAAAAAGGAUUGUUUUUUAUGUGCACAGUACAGAAUGGCGGAGCGAUGGACAGAGCUAAUACCACUUUAUCUAUGUGAACGCUAGGCCACAUAACGAUUUGAGUAUAAGCAAUGGAAAUAAAAUUUAAUUUUGGCAGAAGCUAUUCUAGUACAGGAUGUGUUAUGAUAGCCUGUUUCAUCUCUCUCUUGAGACAUGGUUUCUUCAGAAAACUACAUUUGAUUAGGCCAGACUCACUACCUUCUAUAUUGUAAAUUUAGUAGAAAGGGAUCCUUGUGCUCGUUAUAAUUUGGUUAUCAAAUUGCAUUGUGUUUAUUUUGGGUGUGUAGAGCAUUAUCCCAAGUCAAAAUUGUUUCUGUCUUUCCUUUCAGAUCUUGUCUCAUUUAACAAUUUAUUACUUAUUUUGAAAGCGUGG